rnacentral:rRNA from 1 species
UACGGAAGGCAGCAGUGGGGAAUAUUGCACAAUGGGCGCAAGCCUGAUGCAGCCAUGCCGCGUGUAUGAAGAAGGCCUUCGGGUUGUAAAGUACUUUCAGCGGGGAGGAAGGCGAUGCGGUUAAUAACCGCGUCGAUUGACGUUACCCGCAGAAGAAGCACCGGCUAACUCCGUGCCAGCAGCCGCGGUAAUACGGAGGGUGCAAGCGUUAAUCGGAAUUACUGGGCGUAAAGCGCACGCAGGCGGUCUGUUAAGUCAGAUGUGAAAUCCCCGGGCUUAACCUGGGAACUGCAUUUUGAAACUGGCAGGCUUGAGUCUUGUAGAGGGGGUAGAAUUCCAGGUGUAGCGGUGAAAUGCGUAGAGAUCUGGAGGAAUACCGGUGGCGAAGGCGGCCCCUGGGACAAAGACUGACGCUCAGGGUGCGAAAGCGUGGGGAGCAAACAGGAUUAGGAUACC